rnacentral:rRNA from 1 species
ACGUAGGUGGCAAGCGUUGUCCGGAUUUAUUGGGUUUAAAGGGUGCGUAGGCGGCUACUUAAGUCAGUGCUGAAAUAUCCCGGCUUAACCGGGAGGGUGGCAUUGAUACUGAAUAGCUUGAGUGAAGUCGAGGUAGGCGGAAUUGACGGUGUAGCGGUGAAAUGCUUAGAUAUCGUCAAGAACACCAAUAGUGAAGACAGCUUACUAGACUUCAUCUGACGCUGAGGCACGAAAGUGUGGGGAUCAAACAGGA